rnacentral:lncRNA from 1 species
CUAACCCCAUUUGAUAUGUUAUUGGAGAACAAUGCACAAAUAUUACGUAAAAAGCUUGUGAUUUGAAGAGGUAUUUAGAUUAACUGAGUAGAUAAUAAGUGGGGAUUAAGUGAAGUUACUUGGUUUGCUAACAAAGGAGUUCAUAACAGAUUAAUCAAUAAAAGAAAAUCGGGGAAAACAUCAUUUAAUCUGCGGAAGUAAGACAAAAAACUGGAAAAUAUGUGGAGGAUAGGGAUAUUCGAAAUACAUUGGUCGUCAAAAAUAUGAUUUGUCAUCAAUUGCAUCAUAAUUGAAAAAGACGCCAUUUUGGAGGCACAGAACAACAGGUGGUACAUGUAUAUUAAAGUAUAAACACUUAGUUACAAAACAAAACAAAUGUGAGUUCUCUAGCCUACUUAAAAGUCGAGGAAAUGACACAUGAACGUAAUAAACGAAUUUCCACUCGCACAAUUCAACGUCUCCAGGACCACCGUCCACGCCGUCAGCAAGUCCAAACGUUGGAGAGGAAGAGGGGCUUUCUCAAAAAGGCCAAACUGUACGUAAAGGAGUUAAAGAAAACGAUCCAGGCCAAUCCCCUCCGGUCCAUGAGAAGCCACGCAAGAAAUCUCAAAGAUUCACACCACUCUCCAGAGAGCAUUCAAAAAAGUGGAAAUAUCCUUCUGAGGAUGGAGAGGCCACUUUUAACACCAGCAAUAAAAGAAAAUCAUCUCCAAGUAUUUUCAGUUCUUUUGACACUUUUGAGCACCUACAGCCCUGAUGUCCACCCCUCGACUACAACUUUUGAGAGCAUGUUGAUGGGAAGGCCUGCAGUGUCCUUCAUCCAAACACCGAGGCCCUCAAACCCACUGUCAGCCAGCACUCUGACGCGAUAACGGAGAACCACAUCCAAGCGUGUGCCAGGCUUCCCACCGCCACCUGGAAGCCAUCAUUGCCGCUUAGAACGGUACAUUAAUGAUUAAGAGAGCCCAGACACACAUCUAUUUUUAACAUUAAUUAUGUGGAAAUUAUGUUGUUAAUUAAUAAAUUAUAUCUAGUUGAAGUUUAAAA